UACAGAGGUGGCAAGCGUUGUUCGGAAUUACUGGGCGUAAAGAGCGCGCAGGCGGUCGUUCAAGUCGAGUGUGAAAGCCCCCGGCUCAACUGGGGAGGGUCACUCGAUACUGAUCGACUUGAAGGCAGGAGAGGGAAGCGGAAUUCCCGGUGUAGUGGUGAAAUGCGUAGAUAUCGGGAGGAACACCAGUGGCGAAGGCGGCUUCCUGGCCUGUUCUUGACGCUGAGGCGCGAAAGCUAGGGGAGCAAACGGG
rnacentral:rRNA from 1 species